GGGCCUAUAGCUCAGUUGGUAGCUCAGUUGGUUAGAGCAGAGGACUCAUAAUCCUUUGGUCCACGGUUCGAGUCCGUGUGGGCCCACCA
rnacentral:tRNA from 1 species